rnacentral:rRNA from 1 species
CUUUGACCUCGGAUCAGGUAGGGAUACCCGCUGAACUUAAGCAUAUCAAUAAGCGGAGGAAAAGAAACCAACAGGGAUUGCCUCAGUAACGGCGAGUGAAGCGGCAACAGCUCAAAUUUGAAAUCUGGCUCCGGCCCGAGUUGUAAUUUGUAGAGGAUGUUUCGGAUGCGACACAUGUCUAAGUCUUUUGGAACGAGGCGUCAUAGAGGGUGAGAAUCCCGUAUGCGACUUGUCGUCAACUCCAUGUGAAACUCCUUCGACGAGUCGAGUUGUUUGGGAAUGCAGCUCAAAAUGGGUGGUAAAUUUCAUCUAAAGCUAAAUACCGGCCAGAGACCGAUAGCGCACAAGUAGAGUGAUCGAAAGAUGAAAAGCACUUUGGAAAGAGAGUUAAAAAGUACGUGAAAUUGUUGAAAGGGAAGCGCUUGCAACCAGACCUGUCCGUAGUGAUCAACGUCUGUUCUCAGUCGUGCACUCGCUCCGAUCAGGCCAGCAUCGGUUUGGGCGGUGGGAUAACAGCUUCAGGAAUGUAGCUCUCCUCGGAGAGUGUUAUAGCCUGUUGCCAUAUCACCAGCCCAGACCGAGGAACGCGCUUCGGCUAGGAUGCUGGCGUAAUGGUUGUAAGCGACCCGUCUUGAAACACGGACCAAGGAGUCUACCAUCUAUGCAAGUGUUUGGGUGUUAAGCCCAUACGCGUAAUGAAAGUGAACGGAGGUGAGAACCCUUAAGGGCGCAUCAUCGACCGAUCCGGAUGUUUUCGGAUGGAUUUGAGUAUGAGCAUAGCUGGUGGGACCCGAAAGAUGGUGAACUAUGCCUGAAUAGGGUGAAGUCAGAGGAAACUCUGAUGGAGGCUCGCAGCGGUUCUGACGUGCAAAUCGAUCGUCAAAUUUGGGUAUAGGGGCGAAAGACUUAUCGAAUCAUCUAGUAGCUCGUUCCUGCCGAAGUUUCCCUCAGGAUAGCAGUAACGUUUUCAGUUUUAUGAGGUAAAGCGAAUGAUUAGAGGCCUUGGGACAUAAAUUGUCUUAACCUAUUCUCAAACUUUAAAUAUGUAAGAAGUCCUUGUUACUUUGUUGAACGUGGACA